rnacentral:rRNA from 1 species
AUACGGAGGGGGCUAGCGUUGUUCGGAAUAACUGGGCGUAAAGAGCACGUAGGUGGUUAAUUAAGUCGGAUGUGAAAUCCCUGGGCUCAACCGAGGAAGUGCAUUCGAAACUACAUGACUAGAGGACGGUAGAGGGAGGUGGAAUUCCUAGUGUAGAGGUGAAAUUCGUAGAUAUUAGGAGGAAUACCGGUGGCGAAGGCGGCCUCCUGGGCCGGUCCUGACACUGAGACGCGAAAGCGUGGGGAGCAAACAGGAUUAGAAACCCCAGUAGUCC